GACGAACGCUGGCGGCGUGCUUAACACAUGCAAGUCGAACGGAAAGGCCCUGCUUUUGUGGGGUGCUCGAGUGGCGAACGGGUGAGUAACACGUGAGUAACCUGCCCUUGACUUUGGGAUAACUUCAGGAAACUGGGGCUAAUACCGGAUAGGAGCUCCUGCUGCAUGGUGGGGGUUGGAAAGGUUCGGCGGUUGGGGAUGGACUCGCGGCUUAUCAGCUUGUUGGUGGGGUAGUGGCUUACCAAGGCUUUGACGGGUAGCCGGCCUGAGAGGGUGACCGGCCACAUUGGGAAUGAGAUACGGCCCAGACUCCUACGGGAGGCAGCAGUGGGGAAUAUUGCACAAUGGGCGGAAGCCUGAUGCAGCAACGCCGCGUGCGGGAUGACGGCCUUCGGGUUGUAAACCGCUUUCGCCUGUGACGAAGCGUGAGUGACGGUAAUGGGUAAAGAAGCACCGGCUAACUACGUG
rnacentral:rRNA from 1 species